UACGUAGGUGGCAAGCGUUGUCCGGAAUUAUUGGGCGUAAAGGGCGUGUAGGCGGCUUUUUAAGUCAGGCGUGAAAUUUCUGGGCUUAACCCGGAAACUGCGUUUGAAACUGAAUGGCUUGAGGACCGGAGAGGGUAGUGGAAUUCCCAGUGUAGCGGUGAAAUGCGUAGAUAUUGGGAGGAACACCAGUGGCGAAGGCGACUGCCUGGACGGCACCUGACGCUGAGGCGCGAAAGCUAGGGGAGCAAACGGG
rnacentral:rRNA from 1 species